UCUGCCAGCAGCUGCUGAGAGCCGCGAGGACACAGAGGAACCGGACCGUUACCCGGACUACAGACCCGGUACUGACCCGGUACCGUCCUGUCACUGACCCGGGACACACCUGGUACUGACCCGGUUCACUGACCCGGUAAACAGACCCGGGACACACAGUGUGACUGCAGGAGAGCCGCUGAUCUGCAGCUGGAGCUAACGGAGCUAAAAGGCUAACUUGACGUCAUCCCAUCAGCUGUUGUCUGACAGGCUAAAGCUAACAGGCUAACAGUAACAGUAACGGGACCGGGUCCACCUCACUGAGAGAGAACCGAGAGAGAACCGAGAGAGAAGCAGAGAGACCCGAGAGAGAAGCAGAGAGUACCGAGAGAGAAGCGAGAGAAGCGAGAGAAGCGAGAGAGAAGCUGAAGCUACACACUGUCAGAGACACGGAGCACCGGAGCAGCAUGUUGAUAGCCGUCUCCGCAGGAUCCGGACACGCGGCGGCCAGCGGCAAGAAACACCGGAGGAGAGGGAAGAAGCACCGGAGAACACGAGCUGGGGAGCCCCGGCCCGAUGACCUCUGUGACCUUCAGAGUCUGCCCCCCCCCCCCUGAAGAGACACACCUGGCCCCCCUCCCUGAAGAGACACACCUGCCCC